ACCUAUAAGAUUACAAGAAGGAGGAAGUAAAGGAAAAAUAUUAAAUAUAGCAGCCCAUGAUCCAUAAAUAUGAAACUCAGUAAUAGACCUAUGGAAAGGAAUAGUAGUAGCAUACUUCAUAAAACCUAUAAUGACACAGAUGCAGAAACAAUGUAUAAAUAUAUGGAAACUUCCCUAGAAGAAUCAACAAAGGGUUUAUGGGAAGCCUAUAAAUCAGAAUUUCCUUAAGAUUUUCAAAAUUUAAUAGCAAUUGUGAAAAUCCUUAUAAUUUUACAAAUAAAAUACAUAGUCUGAUCACAUGAGAAGAUCCAAAUAGUGGAU
rnacentral:lncRNA from 1 species